CCCUUAGAUGUUCUGGGCCGCACGCGCGCUACACUGACUGGUGCAACAAGUGUCUGACCUUGGCUCGAGAGGCCUGGGCAACCUUUGAACGCCAGUCGUGCUGGGGAUAGAUUCUUGCAAUUAUUAAUCUUCAACGAGGAAUUCCUAGUAAACGCAAGUCAUCAGCUUGCAUUGAUUACGUCCCUGCCCUUUGUACACACCGCCCGUCGCACCUACCGAUCGAAGGUAAUGAUGAGCCCUCAGGAUUGUGGCCUCGUCGCGUCAGCGUCUUGGCUGCGAGAAUCUGUGCAAAUCCCUACCUUUAGAGGAAGGUGAAGUCGUAACA
rnacentral:rRNA from 1 species